rnacentral:rRNA from 1 species
AACGAACGCUGGCGGCAGGCUUAACACAUGCAAGUCGAACGCCCCGCAAGGGGAGUGGCAGACGGGUGAGUAACGCGUGGGAACAUACCCUUUUCUACGGAAUAGCUCUGGGAAACUGGAAUUAAUACCGUAUACGCCCUACGGGGGAAAGAUUUAUCGGGGAAGGAUUGGCUCGCGUUGGAUUAGCUAGUUGGUGGGGUAAAGGCCUACCAAGGCGACGAUCCAUAGCUGUACUGAUAGGAUCAUCAUCCACGUUGGGACUGAGACACGGCCCAAACGCCUACGGGAGGCAGCAUUGGGGAAUCUUGGCCGAUGGGAGCAAGCAUGAUCCAGCCAUUCCGAGUGAGUGAUGCAGGCCUUAGGGUUGUAAAGCUCUUUCACCGAUGAAGAUAAUGACGGUAGUCGGAGAAGAAGCCCCGGCUAACUUCGUGCCAGCCGCCGCGGUAAGAC